GAGCUUGGCAUGAUACGCCACCUGACGGAUGGCUUGGCUUGGGCGCUGAUGAAGGGCGUGGCAAGCUGCGAUAAGCUCCGGGUAGGCGCAUGCAGCCUUCGAUCCGGAGAUUCCCUAAUGGGACCUCCCGCUGCAGGGAAACUUGCAGCGCCCCUGAUAGGGGUGGGAACCCCCUGAACGGAAACAUCCAAGUAAGGGGAGGAAGAGAAAUCAAUCGAGAUUCCCCUAGUUAGCGGCGAGCGAAAGGGGAAGAGUCCAAACCGAACCUGCAUGGGAAACCAUGUAGGGAUGUAGGGUUGUAGGGCCCGACCGCACCCUCGCCUGUGAAGUCGAAGUGGCCUGGAACGGCCUGCCGUAGAGGGUGACAGCCCCAUAGACGUAAACAGGCAGGGUUGGUUGGUGUCCCUGACUAGUAUGCCUUGGUUCAGGCAUAUGAAGCUGGGAGGAAACAACUUCCAAGACUAAAUACGUCCCAAGACCGAUAGCGCACCAGUACCGUGAGGGAAAGCUGAAAAGCACCCCGGAAGGGGGGUGAAAAGUGCCUGAAAUCAGGUGGUUAAAGACGUGUACGGUCUGAAAGGGUAGAUCCCCUCUGAAGGAAACCUUAGCGAUAGGGGAGUACGAGGAGGGGGGACCAG
rnacentral:rRNA from 1 species